AGUGGCCCCAGAUGGGGAAGGAAGUGCCUGUAGACAUAGAGCACCAGGCAUUUUCUUCAGGGAUUCCCCCACCCUUCACAGAACAUGGUCUUAAAGAUACUCUCCUAAGCUAUUUUCUAAAUUUUUAAAGGCUGCUCUACACAUUUAGUUCUUAAUCCAGCCUGGGGAAUGAGUUAUUUUCAUAUCCUCAGCUGCUGCUAUUGCAUUUCCAUCUCUUGGAAGGAUCCAGAGAAGUACAGGGUUUCUCUGUGGCCAAGGGGAAAAAUGCCUGCCAAGAAUGCUGAACUUCUGGUGAAGGUCACAAGAUACUAUGAAAUGGACUAAGUACAGUAAAUAAUAACGUUUGUGCACACAAAUGAAUAGCCAAUUGUAAUGACAUUUUGUGGAAAAACUUGAUAUCAUAUAAUAACACUCAUACAUCUAGACAUGGAGGAGCAUAGUAAAAUACCUCCAAAGGGCAUACUGCAAUUCUGUGGUUAGACAAGGACCAACCCAAAGCUCAGAUUGUCCCAGAAUAAUCAUUAUGACAAAUAACUGGUAUCUUUGGUUGCACAUAUUAGCUCUCCUGUGUACAGCUCAGCCUCACCGGCCAGAAACUUGGCUCUCAUUAAGUCCUUGGAACAAGAGGGAAAACCAGGCCCAUAGAGACCAUUCUCUUGAGUGCGAUAUGCUCACCAAUAACUGAUUUUCAUACUCAUAGCUUGUCAAAAGAUGGGGCAAAUCCCCUCUAAAUAUCUCACUGGAGAAGCUUAUAGUGCCCAGGAUAUUACUGCCAGUCCGGGAAGAGUUUGAGACUUGGAGGGGUAGGGAGGGGGGUGUAAUUUGGAAGAGAUCCAUCCUGUGACCCUUCUCAAACCACUUUUUGAACAGGAGUAACUCACUGCUAAAGACAGAGCUCAAAGGGACCUUAAUGAGCAUCCGGGGAGAACAAAAGUUGCCUUGAAGCAGAUAAGAAGUAAUUUGGGAGAGGCCAGAGGAUGCUAACUGAUCCUCCAAUCCCCAGCCCCUUUUGCAAGGGAAUAAGUCAACUCUCCCCCAAAGGCAUUAAUGAAUGCUUUUUACUUUAAAAAACAGUACCAAUUAAUUUGCAUUUUGUCAACUGUGUUAGGUUACCUCACAGGGACUGGGGCUUAUAUCAGGAGACAGCAUUUCUUCAUUAAGUUGAGGAUUCGCACCUUUCCGCCUUUAUAAUAUACAGUUUUUUGUUGUUGUUAUUUUGAUCUUAAUGUAUGCAAAUCAUAGAAAACGUAAGGAACGUGCCUUUAGGAAUAAAUAGGAUAACUUUGAAAA